UACGUGGACGUAGACCCGAAACCGGGUGAUCUACCCCUGUCCAGGGUGAAGGUGCGGUAACACGCACUGGAGGCCCGAACCCACGCAUGUUGAAAAAUGCGGGGAUGAGGUGGGGGUAGCGGAGAAAUUCCAAUCGAACUCGGAGAUAGCUGGUUCUCCCCGAAAUAGCUUUAGGGCUAGCCUCGGAAAACAGAGUCGUGGAGGUAGAGCACUGAUUGGGUGCGGGGCCCGCAAGGGUUACCAAGCUCAGUCAAACUCCGAAUGCCAUAGACUUACUUCCGGGAGUCAGACAGUGAGUGCUAAGAUCCAUUGUCAAAAGGGAAACAGCCCAGACCAUCAGCUAAGGUCCCCAAGUGUGUGUUAAGUGGGAAAGGAUGUGGAGUUGCACAGACAACCAGGAUGUUGGCUUAGAAGCAGCCAUCAUUGAAAGAGUGCGUAAUAGCUCACUGGUCGAGUGACUCUGCGCCGAAAAUGUAACGGGGCUAAACACACCACCGAAGCUAUGGCUUGAUGCUUUGCAUCAGGGGUAGGGGAGCGUUGUAUAAGGGUUGAAGGUGUACCGUAAGGAGCGCUGGACAUUAUACAAGUGAGAAUGCCGGUAUGAGUAACGAAAAGAUCAGUGAGAAUCUGAUCCGCCGAAAGCCUAAGGGUUCCUGAGGAAGGCUCGUCCGCUCAGGGUAAGUCGGGACCUAAGGCGAGGCCGAAAGGCGUAGUCGAAGGACAACAGGUCGAAAUUCCUGUACCACCGUAAGCCGUUAUGAGCAAUGGGGGGACGCAGUAGGGUAGUGACGCGGACUGAUGGAUGUCCGUCUAAGCAGUAAGGCUGAUGUGUAGGCAAAUCCGCACAUUGUAAGGCUAAGCUGUGAUGGGGAGCGAAAAUUAUAGUAGCGAAGGUCAUGAUCUCACACUGCCAAGAAAAGCCUCUAGCCAGGUGAUGGUGCCCGUACCGCAAACCGACACAGGUAGGCGAGAAGAGUAUUCUAAGGCGCGCGGAAGAACUCUCGUUAAGGAACUCGGCAAAAUGACCCCGUAACUUCGGGAGAAGGGGUGCCCCGGUAGUGUGAAUAGCACGAGGGGGCCGCAGUGAAAAGGCCCAAGCGACUGUUUAGCAAAAACACAGGUCUGUGCGAAGCCGUAAGGCGAAGUAUACGGGCUGACGCCUGCCCGGUGCUGGAAGGUUAAGGGGAGUGGUUAGGAGCAAUCCGAAGCUGUGAACCGAAGCCCCAGUAAACGGCGGCCGUAACUAUAACGGUCCUAAGGUAGCGAAAUUCCUUGUCAGGUAAAUUCUGACCCGCACGAAUGGCGUAACGACUUGGGCGCUGUCUCAACGAGAGAUCCGGUGAAAUUUUAAUACCUGUGAAGAUGCAGGUUACCCGCGACAAGACGGAAAGACCCCAUGGAGCUUUACUGCAGCUUGAUAUUGAAUUUGGGUACGAUCUGUACAGGAUAGGUGGGAGCCUUUGAAGUGUGAGCGCCAGCUUGUGUGGAGGCAACGUUGGGAUACCACCCUGAUCGUAUCUAGGUUCUAACCUGGUACCGUAAUCCGGUGCGGGGACAGUGUCAGGUGGGCAGUUUGACUGGGGCGGUCGCCUCCUAAAGAGUAACGGAGGCGCCCAAAGGUUCCCUCAGAAUGGUUGGAAAUCAUUCGAAGAGUGCAAAGGCAUAAGGGAGCUUGACUGCGAGACCUACAAGUCGAGCAGGGACGAAAGUCGGGCUUAGUGAUCCGGUGGUACCGCAUGGAAGGGCCAUCGCUCAACGGAUAAAAGCUACCCUGGGGAUAACAGGCUUAUCUCCCCCAAGAGUCCACAUCGACGGGGAGGUUUGGCACCUCGAUGUCGGCUCAUCGCAUCCUGGGGCUGAAGUAGGUCCCAAGGGUUGGGCUGUUCGCCCAUUAAAGCGGUACGCGAGCUGGGUUCAGAACGUCGUGAGACAGUUCGGUCCCUAUCUGUCGUGGGCGUAGGAAAUUUGAGAGGAGCUGUCCUUAGUACGAGAGGACCGGGAUGGACGUACCGCUGGUGUACCAGUUGUUCCGCCAGGAGCACCGCUGGGUAGCUAUGUACGGACGGGAUAAACGCUGAAAGCAUCUAAGCGUGAAGCCCCCCUCAAGAUGAGAUUUCCCAGUAUGUAAGACCCCUUGA
rnacentral:rRNA from 1 species